AGUUUGCAAGUCGCCGGCAUAGCGCAUGGCCGACAAAAUCAAACAGUCUGUUGCGCUCAAUUCGUGAAUUUAUUUUUAACAUUUUUAACUAUUCUAUUAAAUACCUAGUUUUAAAAAGAACGGUGCCUUAGUGAAUGUGUCUUAUGUGAACGGAUUAAUAACUUUAUUCGCUGUUAAAUGAAGUUUUGCAGUGUGUGAAUUUUUUUUGGAGCUUCUUGCAUUGUGUUCUUUUGAACACGAAUGACAAUUUAAAAUAAAGUCAACGAACGAAGAGUUGUAAUAAAAGUGGUCCUAAAUAAUAAUAAAAGUACAAAUAUAAUAGAGGGAACAUAUUUUUGAUAGAACAUAUUGAUUUGUGUACAAACAACCUUUCAUACUGGAAUUUUUAUUAUAUCAAGAGAAUACAACGAACGCCUGGUUAAUGCGACGUUCUACGUUUACGAGAUGAUACAAAAGUUUAGUUUACAGACAUAAAGCAGGGAGCGCAUUGGAAACAAAGUAAAGCUAACAGACGUUUGUAAACAACGGAAGCGGCUUCGAUUCCCGGCUGGACGUCAAAUAGGGGACGCGGCGUGACCGAAUAUUUGAACUAUUGUAGCCUUUCGAUGCUUCUGUAUCUUUUUUAUUCGAGUCCGAAUUAAGAUUAACAUAGUCCAAAUUGUUUUAUCAAAUUCAUAUAAUUUAUUGAGAGACAUAAAUGCGUUUUGUUAGGCAAUAAGGAAAACUUUUAUAAUUUAGAAAUUGAU